rnacentral:lncRNA from 1 species
AUGCAUAUGCGUGUACACAGUACAAUGCACACAGUCCAGUCGGAAGGGUAUCACUCAUAUUUAUUAGGAAUAUUUAUUUUGUAUAUAUUUUCCACGGCUCAUUUUUCUGAAACAAGCUCGAACACUACCCGAAGCUUGUCGUCCGUGACAUAUCCUUCACGUUCUAGAUCGUCCAACAGAAAGGAAGCGAGAUCAAGUAAUGCUGAUA